CCCUUAGAUGUUCUGGGCCGCACACGCGCUACACUGAAGGAGGCAGCGUGUACUCCUGGAUCGAAAGAUUUGGGUAACCCGCGAAUCUCCCUCGUGCUAGGGAUUGAGGUUUGCAAUUAUCCUUCAUGAACGAGGAAUUCCCAGUAAGUGCAAGUCAUAAGCUUGCGCUGACUACGUCCCUGCCCUUUGUACACACCGCCCGUCGCUACUACCGAUUGAAUGAUUUAGUGAGGACUUCGGACUGGGACCGAUGCGGCUUUCGGGCUGCGUCGGUAUUCUGGAAAGAUGUCCAAACUGUAUCAUUUAGAGGAAGUAAAAGUCGUAACA
rnacentral:rRNA from 1 species